CUACGGGACGCAGCAGUGAGGAAUAUUGGUCAAUGGGCGAAAGCCUGAACCAGCCAUGCCGCGUGAAGGAUGACGGCCCUAUGGGUUGUAAACUUCUUUUAUACGGGAAGAAACACCUCUACGUGUAGAGGUUUGACGGUACCGUACGAAUAAGCAUCGGCUAACUCCGUGCCAGCAGCCGCGGUAAUACGGAGGAUGCAAGCGUUAUCCGGAUUUAUUGGGUUUAAAGGGUACGUAGGCGGAAACUUAAGUCAGUAGUGAAAUCCCGCAGCUUAACUGUGGAACUGUUAUUGAUACUGGGUUUCUUGAAUAUUGUUGAGGUAGGCGGAAUAAGUAAUGUAGCGGUGAAAUGCUUAGAUAUUACUUAGAACACCGAUUGCGAAGGCAGCUUACUAAGCAAUUAUUGACGCUGAGGUACGAAAGCGUGGGGAGCGAACAGGAUUAGAUACCCCAGUAGUC
rnacentral:rRNA from 1 species